rnacentral:rRNA from 1 species
GAUGAACGCUAGCGGCAGGCUUAACACAUGCAAGUCGAGGGGCAACACGGGUAGCAAUACCUGGUGGCGACGGCGCAAGGGUGCGUAACGCGUGAGCAACAUGCCCUAUACAGGGGGAUAAUCCAGGGAAACUUGGUCUAAUAUCCCAUAGUAUUUAGAGGUGGCAUCACCACUAAAUUAAAGCUUCGGUGGUAUAGGAUUGGCUCGCGUGACAUUAGCUGGAUGGUGGGGUAACGGCUCACCAUGGCGAUGAUGUCUAGGGGUUCUGAGAGGAAGACCCCCCACACUGGGACUGAGACACGGCCCAGACUCCUACGGGAGGCAGCAGUGAGGAAUAUUGGACAAUGGAUGGAAAUCUGAUCCAGCCAUGCCGCGUGCAGGAAGACGGCCCUAUGGGUUGUAAACUGCUUUUCCACGGGAAGAACCCUCCGACGUGUCGGAGACUGACGGUACCGUGGGAAUAAGCAUCGGCUAACUCCGUG